GAUGAACGCUGGCGGCGUGCCUAAUACAUGCAAGUAGAACGCUGAAGGAAGGAGCUUGCUCUUUCCGGAUGAGUUGCGAACGGGUGAGUAACGCGUAGGUAACCUGCCUGGUAGCGGGGGAUAACUAUUGGAAACGAUAGCUAAUACCGCAUAACAGUAGAUGUUGCAUGAUAUCUACUUAAAAGGUGCAAUUGCACCACUACCAGAUGGACCUGCGUUGUAUUAGCUAGUUGGUGAGGUAACGGCUCACCAAGGCGACGAGACAUAGCCGACCUGAGGGGGGGAGCGGCCACACUGGGACUGAGACACGGCCCAGACUCCUAGGGGAGGCAGCAGGAGGGAAUCUUCGGCAAGGGACGGAAGUCUGACCGAGCAACGCCGCGGGAGUGAAGAAGGGUGUCGGAUCGGAAAGCUCGGUUGUAAGAGAAGAACGAGUGUGAGAGUGGAAAGUUCACACUGUGACGGUAGCUUACCAGAAAGGGACGGCUAACUACGUG
rnacentral:rRNA from 1 species